GUUAUUUUAAGGUAAAAUUGCUAAUCCUAACCCUAAAUUACAAUUGCUACAUACUGUUACUUUAAUGUAAAUGAACAGAUUAUGAUCAAUUUAAAAUGAUAAAUUACUUGUAAUAUAAUAUUGUUAACUUGCAUGAGUUGCCUUUCAGAACUGCCACAGCACAUGCUCCUUUUGGAUGUGAAGACGAGAUGGAACUCUCUGUUUUUGAUGAUGAAAAGAUUCUGUGAGCAGUUUUCUGCCAUCCAGGCUACAGCUAUAGGACCACGGCUAAGAAAGCCCAUGGAAAAGUAACAAACACUGUUUAUUAUUAUUUAAAACUUGGUGGACUAAAGCAAUUCAAAUGUUUGUUUAUGCAAUAUAUAUUUUUUUAUUUAGUCGCAGACUGGCCAAAAAGGGAAACGAGGAAAGCAGAGGAGGUUGUGCUGUUGAUGCGGAAGCAUUACACAUCGACACUCGCUGUCUCCAGUGACAAAACUCCAACCUGUGGCUAGAUACUGCCUAUCCUCCAGAAGUUGCACACAUUACAUGGUGCAGUAAGAACCGUUAAGGAGAACAUUUGGAAUGAUCUUUCCAAACGCUACCAGCUUAAGGAUGCUGAUGUCCAGGCAUUCCUGGAGGAGGCCACCGAGUUAGACCCCAGAUUCAAAUCCAAACUGGAUAGGGAUGAGAUCUGGGACAGGGUCAGGGAAGCAGCAGUGGCAGCAACCUCAGAGGCAGCUGCAGAAGAAGAGGAAUAAACAGGGCAAGACUGGCAAAAGGAAGAAAGUACAAUUGUCCAAGAGGAUUCAAUUCAGUCCUUCUCUGAAAACUAUUUAUGAGGAUAAGGAGAUGUCAUCUGAUGACAAUUAUUUUAGACAGAGAAAAUACCGUAGAGGAAAUGGAGUCUUGAUUUAUUCAUUUUAUUUUCCUUUUUUUCCUUUAAUAAAGCCAUGUUAUCCUCCCUGUGACGGUCCCAAUGCGACCGCACAUGAAAGACACUUCUACCCAGAUCCAUGACCGCUAACGCACACACAUUGCACUUGCAUACAAUCGCGCACACUCUCACACACACGGAUAUACACAGGCAACGAUUUCUCCCAUUCUCUCUCUUCCUCUCACACACACACAUACAUGGAGAUGCAUAUGGAGAGGAGGCUAACGGUGGGUGUCCACGGCACAAAUUACAUGCGUUAAAUCGCAUGCGUAAAGACGCCUGGGGGGCGUGGACAGAAAAAUCACUGGCUGUAGCAAAGUUCAAGAAGCAAGUUCAGGUGCAGUGCUGCGCUAAUGUAGCACAUUAGCUUGUGCACUCCCCAAAAAAGAAUGAUAGAUGUUGCAGCAGUCAGUCAUGGGCUGAUUCAUUUAUUUCAUAAUUUGUUAAUUUAUUCUAUCGAAUUCAUAUAUAGCAGCCAGUUAAAUCACGAAAACGAUAUGUAACUUAUUUAGCAGCUAACUAGCUAGCGACUAUGUGUUUCCGACUAUGUGUCAACCCUGACGGAUCAACGCAAGCGUGUGAAUGCUCUGUCAAUCAGAGUGGAGAUUCCCUGUUGUGGCUGUCGGGACAAGAGAAAUGGUUUGGCCAACCCACUUGAGUACAAUGUCUUAUUUUAUAGGCCAGCGAUUAGGACGUAUUAGAUAGAUAUUAUUCUAAUUAUAUAUUUAGCACAUUGUGAAUACUGUGUUGGUGUUUCAAGGUUUAUAUUGUGAACUGAAACACUAUUUGAUUAUUGUGUGUACCCCUCCUUUUUAUAUGGUGCUGACCACCUUUCUAUAUAUGGGGAUUUGUUCUGUCUGGAGUAUUUUUGUCUUGGUAAGGUGUGUGCAUCUGUGGGAACUGCCGCUGGUUGUCCUCUAGUCCUUUAGAGGCUUAACAAAAUUCUGUUCUUCUGUGAAUGCCUUAUGGAAUUGAAUUGAUGAGUUGGUGAAGGACUUAUGGGUUCUUGAACUUGAAAAUAAUAAACCAAAAAAAAAACUACAAAA